GAACGCUGGCGGCGUGCUUAACACUUGCAAGUCGAACGGAAAGGCCUCUUCGGAGGUACUCGAGUGGCGAACGGGUGAGUAACACGUGGGUGAUCUGCCCUGCACUCUGGGAUAAGCCUGGGAAACUGGGUCUAAUACCGGAUAGGACCAUGCUUUAGUGUGUGUGGUGGAAAGUUUUUCGGUGUAGGAUGAGCCCGCGGCCUAUCAGCUUGUUGGUGGGGUAAUGGCCUACCAAGGCGGCGACGGGUAGCCGGACUGAGAGGUUGGUCGGCCACAUUGGGACUGAGAUACGGCCCAGACUCCUACGGGAGGCAGCAGUGGGGAAUAUUGCACAAUGGGCGCAAGCCUGAUGCAGCGACGCCGCGUGGGGGAUGACGGCCUUCGGGUUGUAAACUCCUUUCGCCAGGGACGAAGCGUUUUGUGACGGUACCUGGAGAAGAAGCACCGGCUAACUACGCGCCAGCAGCCGCGGUAAUACGUAGGGUGCAAGCGUUGUCCGGAAUUACUGGGCGUAAAGAGCUCGUAGGUGGUUUGUCACGUCGUCUGUGAAAUUCCACAGCUUAACUGUGGGCGUGCAGGCGAUACGGGCUGACUUGAGUACUGUAGGGGUAACUGGAAUUCCUGGUGUAGCGGUGAAAUGCGCAGAUAUCAGGAGGAACACCGAUGGCGAAGGCAGGUUACUGGGCAGUUACUGACGCUGAGGAGCGAAAGCAUGGGUAGCAAACAGGAUUAGAUACCCUGGUAGUCCAUGCCGUAAACGGUGGGCGCUAGGUGUAGGGACCUUUUGGGGUUUCUGUGCCGUAGCUAACGCAUUAAGGCGCCCCGCCUGGGGGAGUACGGCCGCAAGGCUA
rnacentral:rRNA from 1 species